UUUUACUGCUGUCUCCAGAUCGAAUUAUUACUGUAGAGAGAUAUUUUUUUCUAUUUCAUUAACAGAUUAUUAUAAAGCAAUAAGCUUGCAGGAAGACAAGCAGACGUUUCACCUUGGGAAUUAAUGAAAGCGUGCCUGCUAGCUUUUAAGGGGUGAAGAGUGGGUAGUUGUUUAAAACCUUACCCCACCCUCGCAAAAACUCUUUGGAAAUGGGAGAAUCGAGACGUGGAUGAUUCUUGGGGCGUUCCUAAUCACCAGGUGUCAGACUAUGUGGUGUUUGUGGACUGGUCUAGCGUGCCAAAUCAAAGAUCAGCAGGGGGAAAAAUCAUUUGAGAAGAAUUCUACAAGGCGCAUCCAAUGCUUAGCAGGACCACCCUGACAGAGAAAGGAAGACGAUGUUUGGGGAAGGCGAGGGUUCGGGGCAGCUGGGGCGGAGGCGGCCGUCCGCGGCACGGUGGCUUCGUGCGCUGCCCUAGGGGAAGAGGAUGGGCCUGAGGUCCGGGAAGAGCCUUCCCGAGCCCCCCACUGCCAAUGCAUGCGGGGAGGGAAAAGUUCCGAAGCUGCCUCGAGGGAACAAAAGCCUGAUUUGGGGCCGGCUGAACUGGACAGGACUUUGAAGCAAAGCCAGCCUGCUCCGGAGACAGGCAGGGGUUCCUGCUGGCUCGGCGGAGGCCGGAGCAAGCCUCGCCGCCGCCCUCGCCACCGCGCCGCCGCCGCCGCGGCCCCUGCGUUACUGGGGGAGACGGUGCCGCUGCGACAGGGGAGGACGCGGCUGGAGCUGAAGGAGGCUCCAACGCGCAGGCGCCGCCGAGCCCUGCCUGGAUGCUCAGUCAAGGCACUCAGGAAAAAAAAUCAGCAAUUUAUAGAAAGAAGAAGCUAUAGUCUGUCAGGAUAUCCAACACCAACAGGGGUGGUGGAUUUCAGGUUUCGUAAUGUUGCAUGAUGCGAUCGGUAUUUACCCGGGGAUGUACCGGUUGGGAAAUUAACAUCAUCGGAUGCAGUUCUGCCUGGGCUUCCAUCAGCAUAUUCCAGGCAAGUGACAAGUGGCAAAGGGAAUAACAGAGGAAACUGAUUUCGCUGGUGUGGCUCACUGGCACCUAGGAGACAAUGUGCAUUUUGUUUGAAAAUAAAGCCACUUGUGAUUUGCA
rnacentral:lncRNA from 1 species